rnacentral:rRNA from 1 species
AUGUGGUUUAAUUCGAAGCAACGCGAAGAACUUACCAGGCCUUGACAUGCAGAGAACUUUCCAGAGAUGGAUUGGUGCCUUCGGGAACUCUGACACAGGUGCUGCAUGGCUGUCGUCAGCUCGUGUCGUGAGAUGUUGGGUUAAGUCCCGCAACGAGCGCAACCCUUGCCUUUAGUUGCCAGCAGUUCGGCUGGGCACUCUAAAGGGACUGCCGGUGUUAAACCGGAGGAAGGUGGGGAUGACGUCAAGUCCUCAUGGCCUUUAUGACCAGGGCUACACACGUACUACAAUGGCCGAUACAAAGGGCAGCGACACUGCGAGGUGAAGCCAAUCCCGUAAAAUCGGUCUCAGUCCGGAUUGGAGUCUGCAACUCGACUCCAUGAAGUUGGAAUCGCUAGUAAUCGUGGAUCAGCAUGCCACGGUGAAUACGUUCCCGGGCCUU